CCAAUAGCGUAUAUUAAAGUUGUUGCAGUUAAAAAGCUCGUAGUUGAACUUCGGGGUUCACCCAUUGGUCAGGCUUAAUUGUCUGCACUGGUGAGAUGAGUCUCUACCUUCUGAGGAACUUUCAUGUCAUUAAUUUGGUGUGAUUGGAAAUCAGGACUGUUACUUUGAAAAAAUUAGAGUGUUUAAAGCAGGCUAACGUCUGAAUACAUUAGCAUGGAAUAAUGAAAUAGGACGGACUGAUUCUAUUUCGUUGGUUUCUAGGAUCACCGUAAUGAUUAAUAGGGAUAGUUGGGGGCAUUAGUAUUCAAUUGUCAGAGGUGAAAUUCUUGGAUUUAUUGAAGACUAACUACUGCGAAAGCAUUUGCCAAGGAUGUUUUCAUUAAUCAAGAACGAAAGUUAGGGGAUCGAAGACGAUCAGAUACCGUCGUAGUCUUAACCAUAAACUAUGCCGACUAGGGAUCGGAUGAUGUUGAUUUUUUAAUGACUCAUUCGGCGCCUUACG
rnacentral:rRNA from 1 species